UGUGAUUACUGUAUCAAUCAGAAUAUCGUUCAGCCUUUAAACCAAGAUAUCCUGCCGUUUGUGACAACAUGGAUGAACCUGGAAGGCAUUACACUAAAUGAAAUAAGCCAGACACAGAAAGACAAAUACUGCAUGAUCUCAUUUACAUGUGGAAUGUGAAAAAGUUGAACUCACGGAGGCAGAAGUCCUUCAAAUUUUCUUCUGAAAAGAAACAAGAACCUCUUAUGGCAGUGAUCCUGACAUCAUAGCCUUUCAUACUGGCUAUAAUAUGGCAGAGAGGGGAUAAUCCUGUUACCUGAAGUAGCUGAUCCUGAUUUCCAAGGAAAAAAUGUCCUGCUACAACACAGUGGAGAAGAGACAGACAAUCUCAGGAACACAAGUGAUUCACGAUUCAUGGAGGCUCCCCUCAGGACUGCCUUGAUCAACAGU